rnacentral:rRNA from 1 species
UCAAGAAACUUCCACAAUGGGCGAAAGCCUGAUGGAGCGACGUCGCGUGAUGGACGAAGUGCUUCGGCACGUAAACAUCUUUUAUGUGGGAUGAAAUUAUUGACAGUACCACAUGAAUAAGGGGCUCCUAACUCUGUGCCAGCAGGAGCGGUAAUACAGAGGCCCCAAGCGUUAUCCGGAAUCACUGGGCGUAAAGGGUGUCGAGGCGGUUGUAUUAGUCGUUCGUAAAAUCUACGAGCUUAACUUGUAGGCGGCGAACGAAACGGUACGACUUGAGGUUUGGAGAGGUGCGUGGAACUCACGGUGUAGGGGUGAAAUCCGUUGAUAUCGUGGGGAACACCAAAGGCGGAGGCAGCGCACUGGCCAAAAUCUGACGCUCACACACGAAAGCUAGGGUAGCGAAGAGGAUUAGAUACCCCCGUAGUCCCUGAGCGGGCUGGCAAGGCGCAU